CGCGUGGUAUGGAAGUUGGUCAUCCGCCGACGCUCAUAACGUCGGAACCGGGGGUUCGAGUCCCCCCUACGCUA
rnacentral:tRNA from 1 species